rnacentral:rRNA from 1 species
GACGAACGCUGGCGGCGUGCUUAACACAUGCAAGUCGAACGGAAAGGCCCUGCUUGCCGGGUACUCGAGUGGCGAACGGGUGAGUAACACGUGGGUGAUCUGCCCUGCACUUCGGGAUAAGCUUGGGAAACUGGGUCUAAUACCGGAUAGGAGCCAUCUUUAGUGUGGUGGUUGGAAAGUUUUUUCGGUGUAGGAUGAGCUCGCGGCCUAUCAGCUUGUUGGUGGGGUAAUGGCCUACCAAGGCGGCGACGGGUAGCCGGCCUGAGAGGGUGUACGGCCACAUUGGGACUGAGAUACGGCCCAGACUCCUACGGGAGGCAGCAGUGGGGAAUAUUGCACAAUGGGCGCAAGCCUGAUGCAGCGACGCCGCGUGGGGGAUGAAGGCCUUCGGGUUGUAAACUCCUUUCGCUAGGGACGAAGCUUUUUGUGACGGUACCUAGAGAAGAAGCACCGGCUAACUACGUG